rnacentral:rRNA from 1 species
UACGUAGGCAGCAAGCGUUGUUCGGAGUUACUGGGCGUAAAGGGUGCGUAGGCGGCUUUUUAAGUUUGGUGUGAAAUCUCCCGGCUCAACUGGGAGGGUGCGCCGAAUACUGAGAGGCUAGAGUGCGGGAGAGGAAAGUGGAAUUCCUGGUGUAGCGGUGAAAUGCGUAGAUAUCAGGAGGAACACCGGUGGUGUAGACGGCUUUCCGGACCAUAACUGACGCUGAGACACGAAAGCGUGGGUAGCAAACAGG